CACAGACAACCAGGAUGUUGGCUUAGAAGCAGCCACUCAUUCAAAGAGUGCGUAAUAGCUCACUGGUCGAGUGAUCCUGCGCCGAAGAUUUCCGGGGCUAAAACUUACUACCGAAGCUACGGCAUCAGUAAUGAUGGGUAGGGGAGCUUCCCAUACGGGUUGAAGCAUGACCGUAAGGACAUGUGGACAGUAUGGGAGUGAGAAUGUUGGCAUGAGUAGCGAGAUGUGGGUGAGAAUCCCACAGGCCGUAAACCCAAGGUUUCCAGGGGGAGGUUCGUCCGCCCUGGGUUAGUCGGGACCUAAGCUGAGGCCGAAAGGCGUAGGUGAUGGACAACAGGUUGAUAUUCCUGUACUACCGAUAACCGUUUGAGAGAAGGGAUGACACAGUAGGAUAAGCUAAGCACCUGUCGCUUAU
rnacentral:rRNA from 1 species